rnacentral:rRNA from 1 species
GAUCGUAAAGCUCUGUUGUAAGAGAAGAACGUGUGUGAGAGUGGAAAGUUCACACAGUGACGGUAACUUACCAGAAAGGGACGGCUAACUACGUGCCAGCAGCCGCGGUAAUACGUAGGUCCCGAGCGUUGUCCGGAUUUAUUGGGCGUAAAGCGAGCGCAGGCGGUUUAAUAAGUCUGAAGUUAAAGGCAGUGGCUUAACCAUUGUUCGCUUUGGAAACUGUUAGACUUGAGUGCAGAAGGGGAGAGUGGAAUUACAUGUGUAGCGGUGAAAUGCGUAGA